GAUGAACGCUGGCGGCGUGCCUAAUACAUGCAAGUCGAGCGAACGGACGAGAAGCUUGCUUCUCUGAUGUUAGCAGCGGACGGGUGAGUAACACGUGGAUAACCUACCUAUAAGACUGGGAUAACUUCGGGAAACCGGAGCUAAUACCGGAUAAUAUUUUGAACCGCAUGGUUCAAAAGUGAAAGACGGUCUUGCUGUCACUUAUAGAUGGAUCCGCGCUGCAUUAGCUAGUUGGUAAGGUAACGGCUUACCAAGGCAACGAUGCAUAGCCGACCUGAGAGGGUGAUCGGCCACACUGGAACUGAGACACGGCCCAGACUCCUACGGGAGGCAGCAGUAGGGAAUCUUCCGCAAUGGGCGAAAGCCUGACGGAGCAACGCCGCGUGAGUGAUGAAGGUCUUCGGAUCGUAAAACUCUGUUAUUAGGGAAGAACAUAUGUGUAAGUAACUGUGCACAUCUUGACGGUACCUAAUCAGAAAGCCACGGCUAACUACGUG
rnacentral:rRNA from 1 species